rnacentral:rRNA from 1 species
CCCCUAGAUGUUCUGGGCCGCACGCGCGCUACACUGAACAGUUCAACAAGUCUUAACCUUGGCCGACAGACUCGGGCAAUCUUUGAACGCUGGUCGUGAUGGGGAUAGACUUUUGCAAUUUUUGGUCUUCAACGAGGAAUUCCUAGUAAACGCAAGUCAUCAACUUGCAUUGAUUACGUCCCUGCCCUUUGUACACACCGCCCGUCGCACCUACCGAUUGAAUGGUCCGGUGAAGCCUCCGGAUUGGCGCGCACCUCGGUGCCGCCGAGAAGUUGGCUAAACCUUACCAUUUAGAGGAAGGUGAAGUCGUAACA